UACAUGGGGUGCAAACGUUGCUCGGAAUUAUUGGGCGUAAAGCGCACGUAGGCGGUUCGUUAAGUCGGAUGUGAAAGCCCCGUCGGACUCAAGCAUGAGGAAGUGCCACCCGAAACUGGCGAGCUUGAGUACGAAAGAGGAUCGCGGAAUUCCCAGUGUAGAGGUGAAAUUCGUAGAUAUUGGGAAGAACACCGGUGGCGAAGGCGGCGAGCUGGUCCAUUACUGACGCUGAGGCGCGACAGCGUGGGGAGCAAACAGG
rnacentral:rRNA from 1 species